GUGUCAGCAGCCGCGGUGAUACGGAGGAUCAAAGCGUUAUCCGGAUUUAUUGGGUUUAAAGGGUGCGUAGGCGGCUAAUUAAGUCAGGGGUGAAAUACGGCAGCUCAACUGUCGCAGUGCCUUUGAUACUGGUUAGCUUGAAUAUGGACGAAGAUGGCGGAAUGAGACAAGUAGCGGUGAAAUGCAUAGAUAUGUCUCAGAACUCCGAUUGCGAAGGCAGCUGUCUAGGUCAUUAUUGACGCUGAUGCACGAAAGCGUGGGGAUCAAACAGGAUUAGAUACCCUGGUAGUCCACGCCCUAAACGAUGAUAACUCGAUGUUAGCGAUAUACGGUUAGCGUCUUAGCGAAAGCGUUAAGUUAUCCACCUGGGGAGUACGGUCGCAAGAUUGAA
rnacentral:rRNA from 1 species